CGAUUGCACUAUAAAGCCCCAAAAAUAGGUAGCAAAUAUACAAUAAUGUUCCAAAAUUAUUACAAGUAUCAAGUCACUAAGACCUAUCUUAUGAGAAUCAACACGGUAGACACGAUUCCACGAAGAAAUCAUUGACCAAAUUACACAACUAUUACAUCACAGUUUCUGCCAUCAAAGAAUCACCCAUCUUUUAAGAGAAAGCACAAAAAUAAAUGGUAUUCCACCAAGGAACCAACCGAGAUCACCAAGAUCUAAAAAAACCGAACUGCCCUUCUCUAAAAUCACUUUUGCAUAAGACACAUAACACAGAAUAAAUCAUGCUCCACGAAGGAUUGUAUGCAUCUAUAGUAUUACUUGAGUUUUCUAGUAAUAUUUUCAACAAAAAACCUUCAAGAACCCAAACCCUAAUCACUAGAAGAAGAGUGAUUUUCUUUCGUAACAGAGAAGUGAGAGAAGAGAGAGAGACUUUUUCUUUUCCUUGAAAGUGAGACGUGAGAGAGAGAGAGAAUUAAUUGCUGGAAGAAAAGUCUUACCUCAAUUAAUGUGUAUCUUUCAAAUAUCACAUGGUUAGGUAGAAGAAUAUCCAAUGGUCAAGAAAAAAAAAACACAUUUCUUUCCUUUUUAAAUUUUGGAACACUUUUUUUUUUUCAACAAUCUCCACCUUGCUUCCAAAAUUUGAACCUAUAGUGCAUCCAGGAGCUUCGCCAUCAUUUAUAACUUCAGCAAUCAAUGAAAAGAAUCAAUAGAUAACAUCUUUAAAUAGUUUUGAAACUUAUUUAAAGGUAUCACCUUAGUUCCCAUAUCGGAUGGUUUAUACAAAGUAGGUAUUUUAUUAAUUUUCAGCAAUCAUUUUGAAAUAAUAUCCCUUAUAAAAAUGGUAUUUUACAUCAAAAUAUUUUGUUCUAUCAUGAAACAUGGGAUUCUUACUCAAAUGGAUUGCACUUUGGUUGUCAGAAUAUAAUAUUGGAUUAGUAUCUACAAAAUCAAGUUCAUUCAACAAACCAUGCAGCCGUAUGCCUUCUUUAAUGGCAUCAGUGGCAGCAAUAUAUUCAGCCUCAGUGAAAGAUAGAGCAACAAUUUUUUGUAACUGAGAUUUACAACUUAUCACAGUACCACACUAAGUGUAAAAAUAAGAUGAAGUUGAUUUUCUAUUAUCUCUAUUUCCAGCAAAAUCAGAAUCUGUAUAACCCUUUAAAAUUACCCCCUCUUUAUCCAUUUUAAACAUCAAACCCAAGUUAGAUGAGCCCUUUAAGUAUCUCAACAACCACUUCAAGGCUUCCCAAUGAGUUUCACCAGGAUUCGCCAUAAAUCUACUCAAACCACUAAUAUUAAAAGCCAAAUCAGGUCUGGUAUAAAUCAUUAAGUACAUGACUGAACCAAUAGCAUUAGCAUAAGGUAUUUUAGACAUUCUUUCAAAUUCAUCUUCAGUUUUUGAACAAGAACCAGAUGUUAAAAUAAAGUGAUUGGCAAGGGUAAAGUCACAGGUUUACAAUCAAACAUAUUAAACUUCUUGAGGAUCCUAUUCACAUACUCUUCUUGACAUAAAAACAAGCAAUCAGAUUUUUCAUCUCUUAUAAUAUGCGUGCCAAGUAUUUUUCUUAGCGGAACCAAGAUCCUUUAUAUCAAAUUCUGAUUUUAAUUUGUGUUUGAUAUCAUCAAUUUCAGAUUUAUUGGCACUAGCAAGAAGCAUAUCAUCAACAUAAAUCACAAGAUACAAAGAAUCUUUACCUCCAUUUCCUUUGCAAUAAAGACAUGUAUCAUAUCAUAAUUGCUUCUAUUAAACCCAAGCUUCAAGACGAAUGAAUCGAAUCUUUUAUACCAUUGUCUUGGAGCUUGUUUUAGGCCAUACAAAGAUUUUUUCAACAAACACACUGUUUUUUCUGGAUUUCCUUUAAUAAAUCCUAAAGGUUGUUUCAUGUAAAUCACUUCAUCCAAUUCACCAUAUAAAAAUGUAGUUUUUACAUCUAGUUGAUCAAGUUUCCACUUAAAUUGUACAACCAAAGCAAGAAUACAUCUUAUAGUUGUCUAUUUAACAACGGGGGGAAAAUCUCAUCAUAGUCCACACCCUCCUUUUGUGUGAAACCCUUGGCAACAAGCCUAGCCUUGUAUCUAACAUUGUUAGUUCCACCUUCCCCUUCCUUUAUCUUAUAAAUCCACUUGCAAUCAAUUAGUUUCUUAUCCUUAGGUCUAUCAAUCAAUUCCCAAGUUUUAUUUUUGUAUGGGGAAGACAUCUCUUCUUCGAUAGCAAUUAACUACCGCUUAGAAUCUUUCGAUUUUAAGGCUUCAUGAUAGGAACUAGGUUCAGCUUCAGAUUCAUCUUAAUAAGUGAACAAAGACACAAAAUCGUCACUAUUAAACCUAGCUAGUCAUCUAAUUUGUCUCCUAUCCCUGUCUCUAGUGAGUUGGUAUUCAUCUAGAGGUGUAUUAUCAUCAUUAUACUGCUCAGGUUCAGCCAAAUUAGGCUCGUUUUCAUUCUGAUCAGCCUCAUUAGUUGCUGUUUCUAGGGAGACAGAACUGGUAUUAUCAAUUUGAAUAGGCUCUACCUCAAUUUGGACAUCAUUUUCAAUCAAAUUUCUCUUUUUCCCUUCCAAACAUGGCAUACAUGACUCAUUAAAGACCAUAUCCCUUCUUGUAAUAACCUUGUAACCUUUUUCCCCCUAAACCCACAGCCUAUCCUUUAACAUUUUUAGCAUAACCCAAAAACACACAUUUAAGGGAUCUAAGUUCAAGUUUCCCUAUGUUUUGAUGAGCAUAUGCAGCACAACCAAAUGUUUUCAAGUAAGAAUAAUUUACAGGCUUUUGUGUCCACACAAUUUCAGGCACAUCAAAAUUUAAAGCACUUGUAGGAUUUCUAUUAAUCAAAUAUGCAACAGUUUUAACAGUUUCACCCCAAAAUAAUUUGGGCAAGCUAGAACUUAAAAGUAUGCAUCUAACUUUAUUCAACAAAGUUCUAUUCAUUCUUUCUGCAAUGCCAUUUUGCUGGGGUGUAUAGGUCACAGUUCUAUGUCUUAAAAUGCCAUGCAACUUGUAAAACUCAUUAAACGCAUAAUUGCAAAAUUCUAGACCAUUGUCGGUUCUCAAGGUUUUGAUUUUCAAAUCAGUUUGAUUUUCAAUUUGGGUUUCCAAUCUUUAAAUGUAGCAAAUGUUUCAUCUUUAGUUUUCAAAAGAAAUACCCAAAUUUUUCUUGAAAAAUCAUCAAUAAUAAGCAAGAAAUACUUGUAACCAGACAAUGUAGGGGCGGAUGUAGGGCCCCACAAAUUAGCAUGUAAGUAUUCUAGAAUUUGCUUUGAUUUAUGAGUACUAGUGGGAAAAGGUAACUUAACUUGCUUUCCAAUCAAACAUUGCUCACAUUUAGACAAAUCACCAAUAUUUGAUUUUUCAAAUACACCUUUAUUUUGUAAAACAUUUAAACCUUUUUCACCAAUGUGACCAAGUCUACAAUGCCACAAUUUUGUAAGAUUAAAACUAUCAUCUAAACUGCUGCUGAAAGGCCCAACAAAGAUUUUGCAUUUAAAAAGUAUAAACCGUGUCUCUUUGGGAUGGAAGUGAUCAAAUCACCAUCCCUAAAGAUUUUUUAUGUGUCCUUGAUCCAAUUUUAUGUCAAACUCCAUGUCAUCCAACAUUCCUAAAGACACAAGGUUUCUUUCUAAUUCAGGAACAAAUCUGGCCCCCUUUAACAAGAAAAUUCUACCAUUUUCUAAGAGCAAUUUUAUGGUUCCAAUACCUUUCACUUUACAGGUCAUGUUGUUUCCCAUGAUAACUUGGCCCCCUUUAGUUUGUUCAAAGUCCAAAAAAUAGUUUUUAUUAGGGCACAUGUGGAAAGAACAACCUGAAUCAAGAAUCCAUUCUUGAUUUAGGUUCCUUUCAACAUUUACAAGAACCAGGCUAUUGUCAAAUUUUUGCUUAUCAUAGGACAAAGCAGCAUUACCCUCAUUUAAUUUCUUUCCUUUCAAAUCAUUUUGCUUCUUGUAGUAAUCUUUUGCAAAGUGACCCAACUUACCAUAGUAAUAACAUUUCUUUCCCUUUGCCUUAGUUUUUUAUUUCAUUUUGUCAUUGUUUCUUUUCUUAGGGCCAUUUUGAAAUUUUGAAUGAAAAUUAGAUUUACCAACAUUUUUUGCCUUUUAUCAAAAGAUUUUCUCCACUUUGUUGGUUGAUAGAAUCUGAUUUUAAUUCAAGAACCCUAUUUCUUAAGGCAUGUAUAAUGAUUUCUGUGGUAAGCUUGUCUCUUCCAUAUUUAAGGCAUUUUUAAGGUCUUUAUGCCUAUCACUAAUAGAGUUUAACAAGACCACAGCCAGCUGAUCUUCUGAUAAUUUCUCAUCACAGUUGGCAAGGUCCUGGGUCAAUUUUGUAAAUCUGUCCAAGUUCUCAUCUAAGUCCACAGAAGGAUCCAUUUUAAAAGAAAAGAAUUGUUUUAGUAAAAAACAUUUGUUUAGAACAGUUUUUGGCUCAUAUUGGGCUUUCAAUUUAGUCCACAACUCUUCAGCAGUUUUAGUUUCACCUAUACUUGAUCACAUUGUCUGAAAGGUACAAGAAAAUAGUACUCCAUGCUAUUUCUUCUAAAUCAGUUCUUUUUGUAGCAGACAUUUCAACAGGCCAAGAAUUAUCUAAGGCUUUAGCACAUUUCAUUUGCAUCAAGAUAGCCCUCAUUUUCUGGCUCCACAUAUUAAAGUCCUCCGUCCCAUCAUACAAGCUCACUUCAAACUUAGCAGUAGCCAUGACUAGAUUCACCAAGAUAAUUCACAGAACACAAGUUUGAGUUCAAGAACACAUAGGGACAUACAACAAGAAUACUGCAGUCAGUCAGGGGAUUGGGGAUUGAUGACCAAUGCACUUAUUUCAAGUUUUCACAAAACAGUAAACACUUAACACUAAGUAUAGAAGGCAGAAUCACUAAGAGCAGAGAUAGCAAUCCUAUGCCUUAACUAACUUCUCCAGCAAGACCUUCCAAUUGCACUCCUACUAGUGUUGUUAUCUCAGAUUCCCAAGACUUCUUGAGCCUUUGGACAAAGACCAGCCACUGUAGAUUUUGUUAGUGCAAGGUAAAUCAAGGAAAAAAUUAGGAGACUCUACUGUAAGGAUUAAUUAUAGAAUGCACGAAAGAUCUCACCAAUGAGUUUGAUAAAACUCAAUUUCCACCGGCCAAUGUGUACUUCAGGUUUCAGGAAUCAGGUUUAAUCAAGAAAUCACAAGGCUCCAGUAGUCCAGGUUGCUCUAAUACCACUGAAAAGUCGAGGGAUGCGAAUAUUAACCAAGAUUCCAAAAACACAAUCAAAAACUGAAAAUAAAGUGCAGGAAAUAAAAAAUGAACACAAGGAUUUUUCGGCCGAAGCCCUAGAGGUUCGAUGACCACUUCUAAGGCCUAAUCUCCUAUUGAGCAUCCAUUAAAAUGGAUAAAGCUCAGUUGCACUAUAAAGCCCCAAAAAUAGGCAGCAAAUAUACAAUAAUGUUCCAAAAUUAUUACAAGUAUCAAGUCACUAAGACUUAUCUUAUGAGAAUCAACACAGCAGACACGAUUCCACGAAGAAAUCACUGAUCAAAUUACACAACUAUUACAUCACAGUUUCUGCCAUCAAAGAAUCACCCAUCUUUUAAGAGAAAACACAAAAAUAAAUGGUAUUCCACCAAGGAACGAACCGAGAUCAUCAAGAUCUCAAAAAAAUGAACUACCCUUGUCUAAAAUCACUUCGCAUAAGACACAUAACACAGAAUAAAUCGUGCUCCACGAAGGAAUGUAUGUAUCUAUAGUAUUACUUGAGUUUUCUAGUAAUAUUUUCAACAAAAAACCUUCAAGAACCCAAACCCUAAUCACUAGAAGAAGAGUGAUUUUCUUUCGUAACAGAGAAGUGAGAGAAGAGAGAGAGACUUUUUCUUUUCUUGAAA
rnacentral:lncRNA from 1 species